rnacentral:rRNA from 1 species
AGGAAAAAGGAAGGCAUGUAGUGUCUCUUGGUGUGUUAUGACAAGGCCAAAGUCAUGUGGUUGAUCGGGAUUUUGUGACAUCGAGCUCUUCAAUCUUCCAUUUUUUGCUCGGCCAUGGCGUAUCCUUAUGGACCUCAACUCCUUAAGUGCUAGAAUUCUCAAGUGUAACUACCACACCACAUGUGAUUUUCUCGAUGCCGAACUUGGAAGGUCUCCAUCUCAGAUAUGGAGAUUGAUCAUGCAUGGGCGUGAUACUAUGAUUCAAGGACUGAUAAGAAGAGUAGGUGAUGGUACCACCACUCAUAUAUGGCGACAUAAUUGCAUUCUGGGGGCCUUUAAUAUGCAUCCUAUUGUCAGUUUGGUUACUAAUCCACCCCGGUGGUGGUUGAGCUAA